AUUGAACGCUGGCGGCAUGCUUUACACAUGCAAGUCGAGCGGCAGCGCGGGGGCAACCCUGGCGGCGAGCGGCGAACGGGUGAGUAACGCAUCGGAACGUAUCCUGGAGUGGGGGAUAACCCAGCGAAAGUUGGGCUAAUACCGCAUGAGCUCUGAGGAGGAAAGCGGGGGACCUGCAAGGGCUCCGCGCUGCAGGAGCGGCCGAUGUCCGAUUAGCUAGUUGGUGAGGUAAAGGCUCACCAAGGCGACGAUCGGUAGCUGGUCUGAGAGGAUGAUCAGCCACACUGGGACUGAGACACGGCCCAGACUCCUACGGGAGGCAGCAGUGGGGAAUUUUGGACAAUGGGGGCAACCCUGAUCCAGCCAUGCCGCGUGAGUGAAGAAGGCCUUCGGGUUGUAAAGCUCUUUCGGACGGAACGAAAUGGUCACGGUCAAUACCCGUGACUGAUGACGGUACCGUAAGAAGAAGCACCGGCUAACUACGUGCCAGCAGCCGCCGUAA
rnacentral:rRNA from 1 species